UACAUGUGGGGCAAGCGUUGUUCGGAAUUACUGGGCAUAAAGGGUGCGUAGGCGGCUUGUUAGGUCACUGGUGAAAGUUUUCGGCCCAACCGGAAAAUUGCCUGUGAUACCGGCGGGCUUGAGUGCGUGAGGGGUGGGGGGAACGAGCAGUGUAGCGGUGAAAUGCGUAGAUAUUGCUCGGAAGGCCGGAGCCGAAGGGGCCCCACUGGUACGUAACUGACGCUGAGGCGCGAAAGCGUGGGGAGCAAACAGG
rnacentral:rRNA from 1 species